GACGUAGGAGGCGAGCGAUAUCAGGAUUUACUGGGCGUAAAGCGCGAGCAGGCGGCCGUGCCAGUUGGGCGUGAAAUCUCCUGGCUUAACUGGGAGGGGCCGUCCAAUACUGCAUGGCUUGAGGGCAGGAGAGGGAAGUGGAAUUUCCGGGGUAGCGGUAAUAUGCGCAGAUAUCGGAAGGAACACCAGUGGCGAAGGCGGCUUCCUGGCCUGUACCUGACGCUGAGACGCGAAAGCUAGGGGAGCGAACGGG
rnacentral:rRNA from 1 species